rnacentral:rRNA from 1 species
CACACCGCCCGUCGCUACUACCGAUUGAAUGGCUCAGUGAGGCGUUCGGACUGGCCCAGAGAGGUGGGCAACUACCACUCAGGGCCGGAAAGUUCUCCAAACUCGGUCAUUUAGAGGAAGUAAAAGUCGUAACAAGGUCUCCGUUGGUGAACCAGCGGAGGGAUCAUUA